AUUAUGCAUCACGCCCAGGCGCUGCAAACCGAGAUUUGCAUAUGAAAAUGGAAUGGAGCCAGGUAUUGAGCAUAGCACUGUGAGCUGUGUCUCAGACUUGCACAUCUGAGGACUGGCCCUUGCUUAGGAACACCUCUCUUGCCUGGGAAAUUUGAGAAACUUCAGAUACUAUUGAGGCAGUAGAAAGGAGUUGUAUUUUGUCUUGAGUGAAUUGAUUUAAAUUUUAAAAAAAAAUUUAUGUGUUCUUUUUUUGUUAUACAGGUCAGUAGAGUGUAUUUAACAUGUCGUACCUACAUGGAGAAUAACUUCCCAUUCUUGUGGUGGCCCGUGGUGUGGAGCUUCACUGGGGCCUGGAUCCCAAGAGCCCUUCCUCAUCCUCGGGUGCGCUAUCCCCAUCUCGGAGCAAACUGAAAGGAGAAGGAAAAGAGAGGCCCUGCGUGGUCAGCAGCUGCAUCUGCCGGCUCUCCAGAAGGUCACGGCAGAAGAGAGCAGGGGAGGGGAGGCUCCAUUCUCUGGAUUCCAGAAUUCGCUGCUCCAGCUUCUGCAUCUCGCUGCUGGGGUCCAGGGUCCUUUGACUCCCCCUCUCCUCUCUCCUUAUCAGACUAACCUUGGGCUGUUUUCUUAUGUUGAAGAUGAGGGGGAAUGAACUGAUGGCUGCGGCCAGAUGCUGUGAAUGGAACAGUUCUAGAAGGCAGAGAUCUUGGCUUUCUGCAGAGGAGCAUCCUGGGGGGUGCAGACCUGUGCUCCCUUGGCCGCUGAUCACUGCUCACAGCGAUGGAGGGAGUCGAGCCUGGAGCCUCCAGCGAGCCCCACAGCUUGGGUGAGGGUGGAUCCAGCAACACUUCAAACAGCACUUACUUCAGGAAUAAAACUUUGCUUUUUCUCUUUCCGUUUAUUUUCUUCAAAUCUUAAGAAUGGACUGGAUCCCGAGGAAACAGUGAAAUAAACUGAGAUUCAAAUCCCAACUUGAAGAGGUAGACGGAGAUGGAGGGCCCAGUUGUGCUGGGUAUUUCUACCCAUUUACGCAUUUCAACUUUACAACCAUGUCUCCAUUUCGUAGAGGAGGCAAGUGAACCACUGAAAAGAGAAAAGACAACUUGCCCAAGGUUAUCCUGCUAAAGAGAGAGCACCAGGAUUUUAACCAGGGCCCUCGGGGUGAUAGGGACCAACCAAGCCUUGGAGGGCUUGCCUCUCCUAAAGCGUGGCCAAUUAGCAUCUCUUCGGUGUUGUUAAGAAACAGGAAUAAGAACAUCCUCCUCCAUACAGGGUGGGGUGAUGAGAGGAAACCAUUUAGCUCUACCAGGCACACAGUGAGCACUCAUGACAUAUUUGUCACCAUUAAAUUUCAAGGGACUCCACCAAGAGAAAUGCACAUAUCCCCCUCAGCCCUCCCCAUUGAAUCUGAUUUGCCAGCUUCGCCUUUGAGGAGUUCCACGGGAUGCUCCCCAGUCACAUGCAGGCAGCCAGGAUUCCAACUCUCGGGGUGAGCAGAGGGCCUGUGAGUGUGUGUCCACGCUCCUUCAAGUGCCCCAGGGCUCCCUUCACACCCUGGGGUGCCACAGCCUGGGUGUCCCAUGCUGACAUCCGCCUCCCAGGCACAGAAGAGAGAACAUGCUGAGGAGUGGCCCAGGCAGGGAAUGGCCACACCUGGCCACAGAAACAGAGCUCUUCACUUUUCAGGAUGGAAUUCUAACUCCUACUUUACUGGUGAGAAGAUGUAAACUGGUCUAAGCUUUACCGGGGAUAAUUUGGGAAUGGUAUCAAAAUUUAAAUUUAAA